AACGAACGCUGGCGGCAGGCUUAACACAUGCAAGUCGAGCGCCCCGCAAGGGGAGCGGCAGACGGGUGAGUAACGCGUGGGAACGUACCCUUUGCUACGGAAUAGCUCCGGGAAACUGGAAUUAAUACCGUAUGUGCCCUACGGGGGAAAGAUUUAUCGGCAAAGGAUCGGCCCGCGUUGGAUUAGCUAGUUGGUGGGGUAAUGGCCUACCAAGGCGACGAUCCAUAGCUGGUCUGAGAGGAUGAUCAGCCACAUUGGGACUGAGACACGGCCCAAACUCCUACGGGAGGCGGCAGUGGCGAAUAUUGGACAAUGGGCGCAAGCCUGAUCCAGCCAUGCCGCGGGAGUGAUGAAGGCCUUAGGGUUGUAAAGCUCUUACACCGGAGAAGAUAAUGACGGUAUCCGGAGAAGAAGCCCCGGCUAACUUCGUGCCAGCCGCCGCGGUAAUAC
rnacentral:rRNA from 1 species